rnacentral:rRNA from 1 species
GACGGAAGGUGCAAGCGUUGCUCGGAAUCACUGGGCGUAAAGGGUGCGUAGGCGGCUUGGUGGGUCUGGUGUGAAAGCCCCGGGCUCAGCCCGGGAAGGGCACUAGAAACUGCCGAGCUGGAGUGCCGGAGGGGAGAGUGGAAUUCCUGGUGUAGCGGUGAAAUGCGCAGAUAUCAGGAAGAACACCCGUGGCUAAGGCGGCUCUCUAGUACGGUACUGACGCUGAGACGCGAAAGCGUGGGGAGCGAACAGG